rnacentral:hammerhead_ribozyme from 1 species
GCACUGCUGAAGAGUCUCAUACUAAGACGAAACGGCAGUCCAGUAC